rnacentral:rRNA from 1 species
UACAGAGGGGGCAAGCGUUGUUCGGAAUUACUGGGCGUAAAGGGCGCGUAGGCGGCCUGUUAAGUCGGACGUGAAAUCCCUCGGCUCAACCGGGGAACUGCGUCCGAUACUGGCGGGCUUGAAUUCGGGAGAGGGAUGUGGAAUUCCAGGUGUAGCGGUGAAAUGCGUAGAUAUCUGGAGGAACACCGGUGGCGAAGGCGGCAUCCUGGACCGACAUUGACGCUGAGGAGCGAAAGCUAGGGGAGCAAACGGG